rnacentral:rRNA from 1 species
AUUGAACGCUGGCGGCAGGCUUAACACAUGCAAGUCGAGCGGAGAUGAGGUGCUUGCACCCUAUCUUAGCGGCGGACGGGUGAGUAAUGCUUAGGAAUCUGCCUAUUAGUGGGGGACAACAUUCCGAAAGGAAUGCUAAUACCGCAUACGCCCUACGGGGGAAAGCAGGGGAUCUUCGGACCUUGCGCUAAUAGAUGAGCCUAAGUCGGAUUAGCUAGUUGGUGGGGUAAAGGCCUACCAAGGCGACGAUCUGUAGCGGGUCUGAGAGGAUGAUCCGCCACACUGGGACUGAGACACGGCCCAGACUCCUACGGGAGGCAGCAGUGGGGAAUAUUGGACAAUGGGCGGAAGCCUGAUCCAGCCAUGCCGCGUGUGUGAAGAAGGCCUUUUGGUUGUAAAGCACUUUAAGCGAGGAGGAGGCUACCUGGAUUAAUACUCUAGGAUAGUGGACGUUACUCGCAGAAUAAGCACCGGCUAACUCUGUGCCAGCAGCCGCGGUAACAC